rnacentral:rRNA from 1 species
AUUGAACGCUGGCGGCAGGCUUAACACAUGCAAGUCGAGCGGAGAUGAGGUGCUUGCACCUUAUCUUAGCGGCGGACGGGUGAGUAAUGCUUAGGAAUCUGCCUAUUAGUGGGGGACAACAUUCCGAAAGGAAUGCUAAUACCGCAUACGCCCUAUGGGGGAAAGCAGGGGAUCUUCGGACCUUGCGCUAAUAGAUGAGCCUAAGUCGGAUUAGCUAGUUGGUGGGGUAAAGGCCUACCAAGGCGACGAUCUGUAGCGGGUCUGAGAGGAUGAUCCGCCGCACUGGGACUGAGACACGGCCCAGACUCCUACGGGAGGCAGCAGUGGGGAAUAUUGGACAAUGGGCGGAAGCCUGAUCCAGCCAUGCCGCGUGUGUGAAGAAGGCCUUUUGGUUGUAAAGCACUUUAAGCGAGGAGGAGGCUACCUGGAUUAAUACUCUAGGAUAGUGGACGUUACUCGCAGAAUAAGCACCGGCUAACUCUGUGCCAGCCGCCGCGGUAAAAC